rnacentral:rRNA from 1 species
UGAGGAAUAUUGCACAAUGGACGCAAGUCUGAUGCAGCAACGCCGCGUGGAGGAUGAAGGCCCUUGGGUUGUAAACUCCUUUUUUCAGGGAAGAGAAUGGACGGUACCUGAAGAAUAAGUCACGGCUAACUACGUGCCAGCAGCCGCGGUAAUACGUAGGUGGCAAGCGUUAUCCGGAAUUACUGGGCGUAAAGCGCACGCAGGCGGUUCUUUAAGUUUGACGUGAAAGCUCCCGGCUUAACUGGGAGAGGUCGUUGAAGACUGGAGGACUUGAGUUUAGGAGAGGGGUGCAGAAUUCCCGGUGUAGUGGUGGAAUGCGUAGAUAUCGGGAGGAAUACCAGUGGCGAAAGCGGCACCCUAGCCUUAGACUGACGCUCAUGUGCGAAAGCGUGGGGAGCAAACGGG